GACGAACGCUGGCGGCGUGCUUAACACAUGCAAGUCGAACGGAAAGGCCCUGCUUUUGUGGGGUGCUCGAGUGGCGAACGGGUGAGUAACACGUGAGUAACCUGCCCUUGACUUUGGGAUAACUUCAGGAAACUGGGGCUAAUACCGGAUAGGAGCUCCUGCUGCAUGGUGGGGGUUGGAAAGUUUCGGCGGUUGGGGAUGGACUCGCGGCUUAUCAGCUUGUUGGUGGGGUAGAGGCUUACCAAGGCUUUGACGGGUAGCCGGCCUGAGAGGGUGACCGGCCACAUUGGGACUGAGAUACGGCCCAGACUCCUACGGGAGGCAGCAGUGGGGAAUAUUGCAGAAUGGGCGGAAGCCUGAUGCAGCAACGCCGCGUGCGGGAUGACGGCCUUCGGGUUGUAAACCGCUUUCGCCUGUGACGAAGCGUGAGUGACGGUAAUGGGUAAAGAAGCACCGGCUAACUACGUG
rnacentral:rRNA from 1 species